rnacentral:rRNA from 1 species
AAGGAGACUGCCGGUGACAAACCGGAGGAAGGUGGGGAUGACGUCAAGUCAUCAUGGCCUUACGGCCUGGGCUACACACGUGCUACAAUGGUCGGUACAAAGGGUUGCCAAGCCGCGAGGUGGAGCUAAUCCCAUAAAACCGAUCGUAGUCCGGAUCGCAGUCUGCAACUCGACUGCGUGAAGUCGGAAUCGCUAGUAAUCGUGAAUCAGAAUGUCACGGUGAAUACGUUCCCGGGCCUU